GGCACGAGGGAGGGGAGUGCUUCAGUGUUAUGAAUGCCACAGGACUAUUCAUACUUGGAGACGCUGUCCGCAUAGGUUUGCAGAAGAUUCCUGGAGGUGGCGUCAGGGCAGUGUUUCCGGACAUUUAUAUUCUCUUUCAGGAGGAACCCGUGGACUCCAAUGCACUGACCCCCUCACAAGAAAGAAACCAGCCCUUGCAGGAUGGGCCACUUUACCCUACGGGCUUCAGCUGGGUGUGGGGCAGUGUGGCAGACGGCCAGGGACCUUGCCCCACCAGGGAUCCCGAGUUGUUUUGCCGUGUUGUAGCAGUGCUACUUAAGAACUGCAUCUCCCAGCAGUCCCUGCUGGGGUCAAAGGUAGCCACAGCUACAGGAGGGCAAGAGGGCAAAGAGGAAAGGAGAGAAAAAGUUUGUUUUGUUUUGGUGCGGUGUGUGUUGCGGUUAUCUGUCGUUUCUGCCUGCUGUUAUUGGUUCUCUAAUCUUUUUGUCCUGGACUGUAUUCGUUUGUUGGGGGUCUGGAUUGUCUGUUUACCUGUACACUGAGAACUGUGUUGGAUUAUUUGGUUUUCCGGAAGAUUGGAGCGCUCCUGAAUCAACCAUCAACAUCAUCAGUAACUACCGGUCUCCCAAAAUAAGAGUAUCUCUGUCAUCCUGGCCAGGUUGCCAGAAAAUGUGUACCAUCUAUUACAAGAGGGAGUGCAGUGAGUGUGUACGCCUGAUGAGCCCAGAAUUAGGGCAAAACACGUGUCGCGUACUCUUUGCAUUAUUUGACAGUAAACUAUUUCAACCAUUCUAUGAUCUGCUUCUCACAACUGAGGACAUCGUGGCGGAUGUUAGCAGACUCGCUGGCCAACCACAAGCGUUACCUGGGCCUUUCUUCGACCAGAUGUCAUUCCAGUGGUGUCCCUUCUAUUGGCAACCUUCUAUGAACAGAAUGAUUGACGUGCCGACUCCCAUGACAUCACUUCUGAAAUCUGUUCCACCUGUGCCCGCUUCUUCCUCCCAGAAUUAAACUUAACUGGAAGCACCACCAUCUCGGCUCAGACCUGACUGGUUUCAGCAGGACUAAUCUCUGUGCUCUUAAAAUGCCUUUUACACCAACUUAAAAUAUACAGGGUUUGCCUACGGGUGCACCAGACCCUUUAUAUGUGUUUUUGUCUUUCAUUAAAAUGAUUAAGCAAUUCCAAUGUAAGAUUAGGUACAAAUUUAAAAUACUAGGCCGUUUAGAUUCAUUCUCAGUAUAGUAAGACUAAUGCUGCCACCAAGUGGUAUAUUUCCAAAGUAAACAUUCAUAUCUCCUGAAGAGGCAACUUAACCGAUUGAAAAUUUAGAUCAGAGAGAGAAGAUUAGGACUAUAGAAUAAGUAGUUCAUACUUAGAAUGCCCAUUGGCUUCUUCAGCAGCCAGACCUGCUACCUCUUUCAUUGGCAUCUUCUCAAAUCUGCUCAGGGCCUCUAAGCUCCACAUGCUCUUGGCUGCUUCAUCCCUUUGCCCACACCUAAACAUCACCAGCUUUAUCUAACUUUGCUCUCCCGGGUUCAGAGGUAACUUGUCUGUCAUACUUUCCCCCAGGUUAAUGGAGCUUAGCAGUUUCAGUAUUUAAUUAAUAUUGGUGAGGUAAGCUUCACCUCCUGUCCAGUAGUUUUUUGCUUAAAUUUUUUUAUAAAUAUUUGUUUUGAUUUAUAGUUACAUAUUCUAACCAUAUAUAUAAUAUAUAUAUCUUGCCAAGUAAGUGAACCAGCCGCCAUACUUGAGAAUGCCACGUAUUGAUGUGUCUGCCAUCCUGGAGAAGUUGGACUACCUGUGCCAGCUCUGUAGGGUCCAGGUAUCGCAUCAUGCUACCAGUAGUGACACUGACCGUAGCCAAAUGCAAAAUGAGUGACAAAACAGAUGAGGAGAGAAAAAUGUCAGAGACCUCCCUCCACCUGAUAAACCAUUCAUUCCUGUUUUAGGGGUCGUCUCUCUCAUUGUUGCCCCUCUAGUGCACCAAAGCAGCUGAAACUGAUGAACAAGCCCCUCUGCUACUGAUCAGAUCAACAGCCCAAAAGUCUCAUUAACUUGAUGCUAUACUCUGAUUCAUAAGUGGUCCUUUAAUUUUUUUGA